AUUGAACGCUGGCGGCAGGCCUAACACAUGCAAGUCGAGCGGAGCGGCGGACGGGUGAGCAAUGUAUGGGGAUCUGCCUGACCGAGGGGGAUAACUCCUGGAACCGUUGGCUAAUACCGCAAACUACCGGUUGACCCCAUAGUGGAUUAGCUAGUUGGUGGGGUAACGUCUCACCAAGGCGACGAUCCGUAGCUGGUUUGAGAGGACGACCAGCCACACUGGGACUGAGACACGGCCCAGACUCCUACGGGAGGCAGCAGUGGGGAAUUUUGGACAAUGGGCGAAAGCCUGAUCCAGCAAUCCCGCGUGUGCGAAGAAGGCCUUCGGGUUGUAAAGCACUGUUGGUAGGGAAGCGGUACCUACAGAAUAAGCACCGGCUAACUACGUGCCAGCAGCCGCGGUAAUUC
rnacentral:rRNA from 1 species